rnacentral:rRNA from 1 species
CGAAAUUCCUUGUCGGGUAAGUUCCGACCUGCACGAAUGGCGUAACGAUGGCCACACUGUCUCCACCAUAGACUCAGUGAAAUUGAAUUCGCUGUUAAGAUGCAGUGUACCCGCAGCUAGACGGAAAGACCCCGUGCACCUUUACUACAGGUUCACACUGGACUUUGACUUUAUUUGUGUAGGAUAGGUGGGAGACUUUGAAGCCAAAACGCUAGUUUUGGUGGAGUCGUCCUUGAAAUACCACCCUUGUAAAAUUGAGGUUCUAACUUAGGCCCAUUAUCUGGGUUGAGGACAGUGUGUGCUGGGUAGUUUGACUGGGGCGGUCUCCUCCCAAAGAGUAACGGAGGAGUACGAAGGUAUCCUCAACACGGUCGGACAUCGUGUGCAGAGUAUAAAGGCAGAAGGAUGCUUGACUGCGAGAUCGACGGAUCGAGCAGGUAGGAAACUAGGUCUUAGUGAUCCGGUGGUUCUGUAUGGAAGGGCCAUCGCUCAACGGAUAAAAGGUACGCCGGGGAUAACAGGCUGAUACCGCCCAAGAGUUCAUAUCGACGGCGGUGUUUGGCACCUCGAUGUCGGCUCAUCACAUCCUGGGGCUGGAGCAGGUCCCAAGGGUAUGGCUGUUCGCCAUUUAAAGUGGUACGCGAGCUGGGUUUAGAACGUCGUGAGACAGUUCGGUCCCUAUCUGCUGUGGGCGUCGGAAAUUUGAGGGAAGCUGAUCCUAGUACGAGAGGACCGGAUUGGACGAACCUCUGGUGUUCCGGUUGUCACGCCAGUGGCAUUGCCGGGUAGCUAUGUUCGGAAAGGAUAACCGCUGAAAGCAUCUAAGCGGGAAGCCUCUCCCAAGAUUAAAUUUCCCAGAAACUUCGGUUUCCUAAAGAGUCGUCAUAGACUAUGACGUUGAUAGGCGAGAUGUGUAAGCGUUGUGAGGCGUUGAGCUAACUCGUACUAAUAACUCGUGAGACUUGAUCAU